UAUAGUUUUUAGUGAUGAAUCUCUCCUCUUCUUCUUCUUUUUUUUAUUUUUUAUUCUACUACCUGUUGUUGUUGUUGUUCUUUUGAUGCGUUCUGAACCCGUGAACGAAGAUGGAGGAAGGAGG
rnacentral:ribozyme from 11 species